rnacentral:rRNA from 1 species
AUGGCCAUCACCAACCUUGGGUUCGCUGCCAUGCUGGUGAUACUACUUCAAGUGUCCACGUUAUGCGCCGUGGCACAGCACCACGGCGUGAUGACGCUGAACGGGUUCGAGAAAGGCCAGGACGGCGGUGGGCCGUCGGAGUGCGACGGCAAGUACCACAGCAACAAGGAAAUGAUCGUGGCGCUGUCCACCCGCUGGUACGGCGGCGGCCGCCGGUGCCAGAAGAUGAUCCGCAUCACCAGCGAGCAGAACGGGCGCACCGCACAGGCAAAGGUGGUGGACGAGUGCGACUCCAGCAACGGAUGCAAGGACAGCAUCGUGGACGCCUCCGCCGCCGUGUGGAAGGCGCUCGGGCUCAACACCGACAUCGGCGAGGCUCCCGUCACCUGGACCGACGCCUGA